rnacentral:rRNA from 1 species
GAUGAACGCUGGCGGCGUGCCUAAUACAUGCAAGUCGAGCGGAGCGGGGACGGGUGAGUAACAUGUGGAUAACCUCCUAUAAGACUGGGAUAACUUCGGGAAACCGGAGUUAUCCCGGAAACAUAUCGAUUGGUCUUCGCUGCAUUAGCUAUUUGGUAAGGUAACGGCUUACCAAGGCAACGAUGCCUAACCGACCUGUGCGGGUGAUCGGCCACACUGGAACUGAGACACGGUCCAGACUCCUACGGGAGGCAGCAGUAGGGAAUCUUGCGCAAUGGGCGAAAGCCUGAUGGAGCAACGCCGCGUGGAUGAAGAAGGUCUUCGGAUCGUAAAACACUGUUAUUAGGGAGGCGGUACCGAAACAGAAAGCCACGGCUAACUCCGUGCCAGCAGCCGCGGUAAUAC